rnacentral:rRNA from 1 species
UACAGAGGGAGCGAGCGUUGUUCGGAAUUACUGGGCGUAAAGGGCGCGUAGGCGGCCCGCUAAGUCGAACGUGAAAUCCCCAGGCUCAACCUGGGAACUGCGUCCGAUACUGGCAGGCUUGAAUCCGGGAGAGGGAUGUGGAAUUCCAGGUGUAGCGGUGAAAUGCGUAGAUAUCUGGAGGAACACCGGUGGCGAAGGCGGCAUCCUGGACCGGUAUUGACGCUGAGGCGCGAAAGCUAGGGGAGCAAACGGG